rnacentral:lncRNA from 1 species
GGUGCGGUCUCUGGAGCAAAAAAGAAGAAGAAGAAGGUAACGUUCUAUGUGAUGAUGCUGAACCUUUGAUGAAGGAAUUGCUGGGUUUGAAGCAUUUAAAAGUUUUAAGCUGGUCCUUCGGAAGUUCACUUGCUGUCCAAAAGUUUUUGAAAUAUCCAAAGCUGGUGAGCAUCACUCAAUCUGUAGGGGUUUACCAAUGUAGAAGUCCACCGUUCAAUGUUUUUCAUCUAGCAUACAUGGAGAAUCUUCAGGAAUUAGAACUUGAAUACUGUAAUUUGGAAGAGAUGAAGAUUGACAGCACAGACGAGGUGAAGAAGCUUUUUCAAAGUGGUUUCCGCAGUCUCAACACAGUUCAUGUAUUUUAUUGCCAAAAAGCGAAGGACUUAACGUGGCUUGUUUUUGUUCAAAACCUCAAGAAGCUGCGUAUAGAGUUUUGUGAUGAUGUGGAAGAAAUAAUCGGGGUUGAUAAAUUGAGAGAUAUUUCAGAGAUAAUCGGGUCAGAGCAUAACUUUUUCGCACAACUCGAAUAUCUAACCAUAAGUUGGGGAAUAAAUUUAAAGGGCGUUUACCCGAAUCCCCUGCCCUUUCCAAAGCUGAAGAAAAUUAAAGUACGUGGAUGCCGACACCUGAAGAAGCUCCCACUCAAUUCCAGCAGCGCGAAGGAACGUCGAGUUGUCAUCGAGGGAUCGAAAAAGUGGUGGGAAGAGCUACAAUGGGAGGAUCAAGCCACCCAAAAUGCUUUCUCUUCCGGUGUCGUACUUAGGGAUGAUUAUGAAUAUGUUUGAAUAUGUAUUUCUUUUUUUUUUUAAUUUUCAUUAGAUUUAAUUGCAUCUUGUCCUUGUUGUCUGGUGUGUCAAUCAUUCCCUAUUUUCAGUUAAUAAAUAUUAGGGCAAGAGCUGCACAUUUGUAGUCUCAAAUUCAUUUGACAUCAGCCAAUUUAAUUAGGGACAUUUAUCAUACAUAUUUGGCUAGUUCGCCGUGGAAAAAUAAUAAUAGUUGAAAAGACAUAGGGUACUUUUUAUUUUCCUUUAUAUUACUAAUAGAUUUCCCACGCGCAACAGACGAAGUCAUUGCUGCUUCAAUAAUUGCCCUAUCACUGUGUUCAUCUUCACAAAUUUCUUUAUUACGUUUGUGAAAUAACCUUAGCAUAACAAAAUUACUCCUACUUUUUAACUAAUAAUAGAUAUCUCAAAUUUUAUUUUCAGAAUAUGGUAUGUAAUGUAAGCGAUCGAUAGUUUUUUAUAAAAUAUAUAAAUAAAUUAAUAGUGUUAUUUAGUGUGUAAUUAACAAAUGCCGCAUCAUUUAAGAAAAAUUCAGGAUAUGUAAUACUAAUUGACAUACUUAAAUUAAAAGAUAAUAAUUUUUUUUUGAUCUGAUCAUAUUAAAUAAUUUAAGAUGAUUGGUAGUUAAUAAAUAAAAAAAAUAAAAAAAAUUAAAUUAUAUUUAUAUACUAUAAUUAAAAGACACAUAAAAAUAUAUUUUUAAAAAUUUAAUAAAACUCAGAUACAGAGAAAUCCUACUCCUACAGUAAUGCGGGUGACAAUUAAGAGCAUGAUUUUACUAUGUUACAUUUAAUGUACUAUACACAACCAAUAAGAACUACACAAUUAUAUGAGUUCCACAAUUUAUGUGGUUCUUGUGGGUUGUGUAUGGUACAUUAAAUGUAACAUAGGGACUCCCUUAAGAGCAAGUCUAUAUUUUUCAUCCACGUGUCAGACGGAAACGCAUGAGUCACAUUUCUAAGCAUGUUUGAAAGUUGAAACAUUGGAGUUGUCAAAUGCGGACAAAUGUGAGUCCCGUUUCCAUGCUUUUUGUUUUGAAAUAAUUAAAGAUUUUUUUUGGUCCUUUUUUAGGGGCUGUCGGUCAUGCUAUCAAUGAAAAUGCAGGAGCUCAAUUAUUUGUGCUGAGCUGUAUGUUACUGUUAUCAAAUUAGAUUUUUUUUGGUUCUUUUUUAGGGGCUGUCAACGUCCAACGGUCACAUUUACUUGUACGCGACCUUUAUGUUCGUGGAUGUAAUCGCCUUUAUCAUCUUUUUUUUUUUUUUUUAAUUAUUAUUCAUUAUAUUUAUAAUUAUAUGAUUACCGAGAUUGAUUUCUAUCAAUUCUAAUAUUACACUGUUUAAAUUUUAAUCCUUUCAAAUAAUCAAGGAACAUCAACUCACUUCCUAAAAAAAACUGUUUUCAUUCAAACUUUGAGUGGCUCACCACUGGACCAAGCCCUAAUGGUCUAUCGCCAAAUUAAGUCUUGUUUGUUUUCUUAAAAAGGCAAAUGUUAUGUUUGUGGCAAACCUGGACAUUUUGCUAUCAAAUCCAAGUAUAGAAAGGGAGAUCACAAGCCUCUUAAGGCCAAUUUGGUCGACCAAGAAGAAAUUAUUCCUGUUGUGGUGGUCUCUCAAGCGAACAUGGUUGUUACUAAGGGAAAAAAAUGGUGACAAAUUCUAGGAAUUAACGUUAAAAUUUAUUUUAUUUUUAUUUUAUCUAUCUUUGACUUAAUAUUUUGAAUCUUCAUCCAAAGUUGAGGCACAAAAUUUUUAUUCUAAAUAAAUAUUAUCAAUAUAAAUAUAUCACUUAAAUAAUAAAUGAUAAGAUUGAAUGUUAAUUCUGUCAUUACUGAAAGAAUUACAAAUUUUAUAUGACGUGUAGACGUAUCAUUAUGUUCUUGAUUUUUGAAAUAUGAAUCAAGCAACAUAUGUAGCAUAUUUUUAUUCAGUGCUUUGCUUCUCUAAAAAUUGUUGAAAGCAGCAGCUGUGAAGAGUCAACGGUUGACCUUGAAGCCAAGCUGGCAUGCCUCCUGAGCUACUCCCAUGUGCAACCAGCUGGUGUGGCAGGUGAGUUGGCUUUGUUGAGCUGGCAAAACUGUUAUGUUGAAGAAUAGCAGCGCAUGUGCAUUGAAUAGUUGCAUCUUCUAGAAGCUUAAUGUGAUUGGUUCACAAUUGCUAUAUUCACGGAUCAAUUUUGAUUAUUUCCGUAUAAUACCCCUUAGGCUAGCUAUCAUUAUUUUUUGUCUCUGUAUGUAAACUAGCAAAGCUCUGUAUUUCAUUUUCAUCCAAGUCAUCAUAAUCAAUAAAGGCCCGAUUCUCAUACUCUGUUUGCAUUUGAAAGCAAUUCUUAAGAAUUUAAGUAAAAUGACCCUCACCAAAUUAGCUUAAUUCUUUUCAUUGUACCCAUUGCUUCACUUCCACUUUUCGUCAACGACAAUGGGUAACUUAAUCUCAACCUUCUUACCAGCAGACUUAUUCGAUCGAACUUCAAACUGCGUUGGUGAACAAGCAAAAUAUGUAUGGGGUCUCGAAAAAAAUCUUCGGAUCUUGGAGACUGAAUUGCACAAAUUGACUCGAGCAAGGGACGAUUUGAAGACCAAGGUUGAGGUCGAAGAACAACGACCUCGAACCAGACGAACGAACCAGGUCGCAGGGUGGCUUGAAGAUGUGCAAAAUCUGGAAACUGAAUUUACCGAGCUGGAACGAGUUAGAGCUCAAGAAAUGGAUAGAUUGUGCCUUGGAGGCCUCUGUUCCAAAAACUUCGUUUCAAGCUACAAUUACGGGACUCAGGUGGUCGAGUUGACGGAUCGAGUGAUCAAUUUAGAGAAAGACGGAGAAAAAAUUGAAGUCGUUGUUGAGAAGGCGCCGGAUGGUGCAGCAAUUGAAUUACCUGUUGAUCACACGGUUGUUGGUCAAGAACUAUUACUUGAUCAAGUUUGGAGAUGUAUCACUGAUCAGGAAAAUAACAGGGGAAUUAUCGGCCUUUAUGGUAUAGGGGGAGUCGGCAAAACUACCCUUUUAAAACAAGUCAACAACAACUUCUGCCAUCAACAGCAUAUGUUUGAUGUUGUUAUCUGGGCGGCUGUGUCAACACUUCAAGAUGACAUUGGAAAAAGGAUUGGCUUUUCAGAAGACAGAAACUGGAAGGAAAAAAGUCUUCAAGACAAGGCUGUGGACAUCGCUAGCAUUUUAAGCGGAAAGAAGUUUGUGUUGUUAUUAGAUGAUAUAUGGGACCGCAUUGAUUUAACACAAUUGGGUGUCCCUCUUCAAAAUCUAAAUGAUGGGUCCAAAAUAGUCUUAACAACUCGUUCAGCCGGUGUUUGCGAUCAAAUGGACGCUAAAAAGUUGGAAGUGUCUAGUUUGGCAGAUGAUGAAGCCUGGAAAUUAUUUCAGGAGAUGAUCGAAAGAUCCACUCUUGACAGUCAUACCAGUAUUCCAGUGCUAGCCGAAACCCUGGCAAGAGAGUGUGGUGGGUUGCCGCUAGCGCUUAAAACAGUGGGUCGAGCCAUGAAAAGCCAAAGGAAAGUUGGAUAUUGGAAACGUGCAAUUCACAAAAUGAGAACAUCAGCUUCUAAAUUCUCAGGUAUGAAAGAAGAGGUGUUUUCGCGUUUAAAGUUCAGCUAUGAUAGUUUGUCUACGGAUGAACUUCGUUCCUGUCUCCUGUAUUGUUGUUUAUACCCUGAAGACUACGAAAUUCCUAAAAGGGAAUUGAUUGAUUACUGGAUUAGUGAAGGAUUUGUGUAUGAUUUUGAUGAUGGAUGCGAUUUUAUUGAUGACCUUCUUCAAGCAUGCUUAUUGGAGGAAGAAGGCGAUGAUCAUGUCAAAAUGCACGAUAUGAUUCGUGAGAUGUCGUUAUGGAUAGCGUGCACGGUAGAGAAGGAGGAGCAGAACUUACUGGUUCGCGCUGGAGUUGAAUUGACCGAAGCACCAAAGGUUGAAGAAUGGGAAGGUGCCAAACGGGUAUCUCUGAUGUUAAAUGAAAUUGAAAGCCUAUCGGAAAUUCCCACGUGUCCGCGUCUCGUAACUUUUCUCCUGGAUGGAAAUUCUUUGAAGGAGAUCACUGACGGCUUCUUUCAAUCGAUGUCUUCUCUUAGAGUAUUAAGUUUAAGUGAAAAUUUUCACCUAAGUACACUACCUUCAGGGAUUUCAAGUUUGGUUUCAUUACAUCAUCUUGAUCUAUCACGGACUCACAUAACCGGGUUGCCGCAAGAGCUGAAGGCGUUGGAGAAGCUGAGAUAUUUGAACUUGGAGUAUACACAGUAUUUGUCUAUAAUUCCACAUCAGUUGAUAUCUGGCUUUUCAAAGUUGGAGGUACUCAGGUUGCUUUUCUGCGGUCGUAAGGGUGUAAUAGAGGAAGAAGAAGGUAACGUUCUAUGUGAUGAUGCUGAAUCGUUGAUGAAGGAAUUGCUGGGUUUGAAGCAUUUAAAUUUUUUAAGCUGGUCCUUCCGAAGUUCACUUGCUGUCCAAAAGUUUUUGAAAUAUCCAAAGCUGGUGAGCAUCACUCAAUCUGUACGGGUUGAAUGUGGUGGCAAGUUUACUACAAGGCCACCGUUCAAUGUCUUACAUAUGGCAUACAUGGAGAAUCUUCAGGAGUUACGUCUUACAACCAGUAGUUUGGAAGAGAUGAAGAUUGACAGCACAGAAGAGGUGAAGAAACUUUUUCAAAGUGGUUUCCGCAGUCUCAACACAGUUCAUGUAUUUUGUUGCCAUAAAGCGAAGGACUUAACGUGGCUUGUUUUUGUUAAAAACCUCAAGGAGCUGCGUAUAGAGUUUUGUUAUGAUGUGGAAGAAAUAAUCGGGGUUGAUAAAUUGAGAGAUAUUUCAGAGAUAAUCGGGUCAGAGCAUAACUUUUUCGCACAACUCGAAUCUCUAACCAUAACGUCGGGAAGAAAUUUAAAGAGCGUUUACCCGAAUCCCCUGCUCUUUCCAAAGCUGAAGAAAAUUGAAGUACGUGUAUGCCCACAGCUGAAGAAGCUCCCACUCAAUUCCAGCAGCGCGAAGGAACGUCGAGUUGUCAUCCGGGGAGAGAAAGAAUGGUGGGAAGAGCUACAAUGGGAGGAUCAAGACACCCAAAAUGCUUUUUCUUCCGGUGCCGUACUUACUGAGGUUCCUUUUUAUUAAUAUGUUUGAAUAUGUAUUUCUUUUUUUUCUUUUUUAAUUUUCAUUAGAUUUAAUUGCAUCUUGUUCUUGUUGUCUGGUGUGUCAAUCGUUCCCUAUUUUCAGUUAAUAAAAUUUCAGCAGUGGAUUCUUGGUUUAUUAAUGUUUAUAUAACUGAAUUGUUCAGCAGAUGUACUCUGCAUAUGUACUCUGACUCUGCUUCUGGCUUCUAAGGAGAAAGAGGUGAAAAUAAACAUUUUAUCUUCCCUUAGCUGCUCUCCUUUGGUUUGAAAUAUGUGACCUUUAUAUAUACUCGUCAACAAAAUUGUAUUUGUCGCUUUAAGUCUUGUUUGUUUUAAAUCCUGGCAUAUGUAAUUAUGUAUGGAGUGGGAACUGAGAUGAUGAUGAAAGAUAAGAAAACAGUAAUUGAAUCUGUUAUAAUUUUAAUAUUAAUUUAACAAGAAAGUGAUAUUAAUUUGCCUGGCCCAUAUGAAAAACAAUUAUAAUUAACGCUUUUUCUUUUUCUUUAAUUAGUAAUAGAUUUCGGAUAGAAAGCAGACAAAUUUAAUUUCUGCUUCAAUAACUACCCUAUCACUGUGUGCGUGAUCACAUAAUUUUGGACUACCGCUUGUGGAAUAACUUUAGAAAAAGAAAAUUAAUAUUUUUAAGUAACGAUAAAUAUUUUAAAUUUUAUUUUAACUAAAUUUGAAAUGAUGUGAUUGGCAGGUAAGACUUAAGAAUUAGACAAAUUUUCUCAUUCCACAGCUUGUAGAAAAUUUAUACUCUAGGCCUUAUCUAAACUUGGACUUAUCGCCUGCGGUAAAGCAUGAGUCAUGUUUCCAUGUAUGUUUGAAAUAAAUAUUUUAAAUUUUUAUUUUAAAUUGUUUUCUUCUCUUAUCAAUUAUUUGUUUCUCCUAUCUUCCAAUGAAAGUGCAGGACCUCAAUUAUUUUAAUAGAGAUGUAGUAAUAAAUUAUUAAUGAAACAUGUCAAAUCCAAUGUAUAGAUAAUAAUAAAAUGAGGCUAAUGCUAAGUUACAUGCAUGUAACUUAAGGGAUCCAUAAAAUAAAUAUACAUUGUUUCAAAAAAGUUAGCACAUGCUUGUUACAAAUAUAAAACAUUAUCUUAAAAGUCUCUGAACUUUUGUGUUCUCUUUAACAUUUUUCUCUUAUGUUGUUUUUGUACUAUAUGGAUACAAGAGUGCGUUUGGGAUGCUGUAUUAUAUUAUGUUAUAUUGCAUUAUUUUAAUGCAGGUGUAUUGCAUUAUGUUGUGUUGUAUUAGUAAUGUAUUAUAAUAAUGUUGUACAAUGUUUGGUAUUACACUGUACUGUAUUAAUUUUUAAAUAUAUUAUAUUUGAUAUAGCACUAUAUUGUAUUAAUUUUUUGUGACUAAUUUAAAUUAUAUAUUUAGAAAAUACUAAUGAAUUGUGCUAAACAAUCUAAUAAUUAUAUAUUUUAUUAAUUUUUAAUUAAUAUUAUUCAAAUUUAUUCAUAUUUAAAUAUUUAUUAUUAGUUAUAUUAAAUUAUUUAAAAAUAACUAGUUUAAUUAUUUUAAUAAAUUAUAUUAUAUUAUAUUAUAUUAUAUUAUAUUAUUUAAGUAUUUAUUAUUAGUUAUAUUAACUUAUUAAAAAUUAAUCAAUUAUAUAUAUUAAUUAAUAUAAUUUUACAUAUUAAUUAAUAUAAUAUAAUUAAAUAAUACAUUUUUUAGUUAUACAUUUACUAUGAUAAAAAUUAAAAUAUAAACAUAAUAUUAUUAAACAAUAAAUUUAUUAAUUUAUAUUAAAAUUAUAAUGUAAAAAUAAUAUUAUAUAAUAUAAUAUUAAAUUAAAAAUUAUAUUCAUUUAUCAUUAUUACAAAGUAUAAAAAAAAAAAAAAAAAAAAAAAGAGGAAGCUAAAGCUAAAGCGUUAACUGGACACAUUAGCUAAACCCGACAAUAUGUUGGGUUUAGCUAAUAUAGCCAUUUGGUACCCCAAACAUGGGGCUGCAUUGCUAAUGUAAUGCAAUCCCAGGUAAAGAGGGGUACCAAACAACCCCCAAGUUCACUUAAUGUAACAUAACAUAUUUAUAUAUAUAUACACUACGUGGAGGUGAGCUCCUUAAGGUGAGAUUUAGCAAAAUUAUAAAUUAUUACAGCAUGAAAUUUAUUCUUAUUUAUAAUUGGCCUAAUAUAAAUUAGGACCAUUACUUUUAUAGCUAUAUGAAAUUAUUCUUAUAUAAAAUAUCACUACAUAAAUGUUUUAUUGCAAUAUUGAUCUCUUUUUUUCUUUAUUGUAUUUAUCUCUUCAUAAUCUUUUCCUUUUUAUUAAAAAAAAAUCAACUAAAAGAUUCAUCAACAUCUUAGUCCAACAAUCUACCAGCGAAAACGAGUGUCCAUGCUUUUGAACCAAGGCCCAAUAUGUGAGGGAGAGAUUGUUGGGUUGUCUUAUAUCGGUUGUGAAUAGGAAUGGCAAAAUCCGGGUCCAGGUCCGGGUUUAGCCUUCCCGGUUCCGGACCCGGACACUAUUUUUUUGUUCCUCGACCCGGAUUAAAACUCGGUUUUUUCUCAUGCGGGUCCGGGCCGGGUUCAACCCGGAAAAAUCCGGGUUUUGAACCCGGAUCAAUAACUCAAAACUAACUCCAGAAAACUCCAGAAAGCAAUUCAAAUGGUGAAUAUUAUGGCAUAGGUACAGAAUCAUCCAUUUUUCUCUCUUCGGUGGGUUAGCUACUAAGCUUCAAAUUUGAGGAAAAAGGAAAAGAAAAGUCAGUUAAGUGGUCAAUCCACAACCACCAUCUCCAAUCCCAUGGCAUUUCUCAAGGCUUUAUCAGAUCAUUUCAUUUGACAGCAUCAUUGAAAAGAAAAAAAAAUAUGAUGAUAUGAGUCUUGAAAUUAAUUAAGUAUUAAAUAUGCAACUAAAGCGAGAUAUUAUUGAAAUAAUCAAGUAUUAUAUAUGGUAAGUAAAGUGAGCAAAGUAUGAUGACUGUAAAUAAUUUAAUUAUAAAACCGCAAAUACGCAAGUGUGUGGUGAAUCAAACGAAUAGAGGAGCUGAUGAAGAUGAAUAGAGGAACUGCAGUGCUGCAAGCAUGUGACGGUGGUGAACCAAACAAGUUGCGAGUUGCGACGGUGGGGAACCCAAGCUUUUGACAGUGGCGAACGCCGCGAACCCAACCUUGUGACGGUGAUGAACCCAGGCGAUGGUUGUUUGACUUGCCUGCUGGACAGCGGGAGGCGGCAGCCGCGACACAGUUAGGGUUUUUCACUUUUUCUUAUGUAAUCGCGAUUUGUGAUAGAAAAUAGAAAGAAUGAAAGAAAAAAAUGAAUUGCGAUUUUUUAAGAUUUUUUUUUAUGUUUCUAUUUAUAUUAACUAAUAAAAAUAAUAUAAAAAAAAUGAAUACGGAUCCGGGUUCCGGAUUCACGGGUUACCCCAAACCCAGAUUAAUCCGGGUUAUUAAAAUUCAUUCCGGAUCCGGAUUUUUUUCCACUCCGGUACGGGUUCAACCCUCCCCGGAUUAUCCGGGUUAGUCCGGAUUAUUUUGCCAUCCCUAGUUGUGAACUAGGAUGGUGGUGAUUUUACAAGUGUGAGGGAAAGCCUCACCCCUUAUCCAUCUUUUGGGAUUGAAUGAGACCCAAAACCGCCUAAUAUGAAUUCUAUCACUGGGAUUUUUACCCAGUAUAACAAACAUAACAACACAAUGAAUUAUCAAUUUAUCACCUAAUGGCUCUAACUUUAGCGAUGAUCACCUUACAUGAACAUGAAAAUUAAUCCCAUUGAUUAACUCAACAAUGACGAUAAUCACUUAAACUCUUAUGCACCAAAGGAUAUACUCGCUACAGGGGUCUUAACUCAUAAAGAUGCUCCCACAUCUUCCAUUAAGUUUCCAUCGAACAACUAUUCAUAUCAUUUGAUGAAAAAUUAAUUUUAGUGGGGGCCAAAAGAGCACGAGUGAUCCAAACCACUAAACAACAUCAUAACCAACACAAAAUUUAUACUAAACCAUUACCAAAACAGCAAAGCUAGACAUAAAUUUGAACAGAUACACAAGCUACAUUCAUUACCAUAAUGUAUCGACUAAAUUUCCAAGCUCUACAUUUUGAACAAAGAAUUUAUAAUAUUACAUAAUCUAAUAAAUUAAUAUAGAAAUAAAAUUGGCAUCAGAUCAAAUUACUAUUAAUCUACCUUGCAUAAACCAUUCUCUUGUAUCGGCAUUCACGUCCGCGCUCGAUUGGCUCUCCUGUGCUGCUUGUCUAACUGAUUCAAAUCCACAUAGAUAAAAUUAAGCACAUUAAGUUUUCAAACUCAAAUCAAACAGCUUUAAAAGUUACAUCACAAACAAUGAAUUUCAUUUUCGAAAUACAAAGAAUCCGUUCAGUUUAAAACAAUAAAAAAUCGUCUACGACUACUCAACUCAUGUAUUAUAACUAAAAAAACGAAGGAUACCCACAAAAAUUAAAGAUAAAUUACCAAAAAAAAAGCCAGAGAAUGGAAAUUGGCGUACCAGGGGCAGGCGAGAGGAAACGAGAAGAGGAAGAAAGAAGGGUUUUGGAGAGAGUGGGAAUUAGUGGAGGCAAAAAUGGAGAGUUUUGAGAGUGAGAUGAUUGGUGGGGUGGUGAUGGCGGUGGUGGGGUUAAUGUUCUGGAGGGUAUGCUGAAGAGAGGUCGCAAGAGAACCUCCAUAGCCUUUAAAGAGAGUUGAGUUGCUGCUUUCUUUUGCCGUGGAUAGAGAGAGAUUAAGGGAUUAGAGUUCUGUAUUGAAUUUACUUUUUAUUAAAUAAAAAAUUAAUGUUAAAAUUUAUUUUAUUUAAUUUUUUAUUUAUCUAUCAUUGACUUAAUAUUUUGGAUCUUCAUCCAAACCUAAGGUAGAAAAUUUUUAUUCUAAAUAAUAUAUUGUCAAUAUAAAUUUAUCACGUAGAUAACAAAUGAUAAGAUUUAAUAUUAACUAUGUGAUUACUUGGUUGAAAUACAAAUUUUAUAUGACGUGCAAACGUAUCAUUAUAUUCUUGAUAUUUGACAUAAUGAAUAAAGCAACAAAUGUGUCAUAUUUUUAUUUUGGUGUUGUGGUUCUCUAAAAAUUGUUGAAAGCAGCGGCUGUGAAGAGUCAACGGUUGACCUUGAAGCCAAGCUGGCAUGCCUCCUGAGCUACUCCCGUGUGCAACCAGCUGGUGCGGCAGGUGAGUUGGAUUUGUUGAGCUGGCAAAACUGUUAUGUUGAAGAAUAGCAGCGCAUGUGCAUUGAAUAGUUGCAUCUUCUAGAAGCUUAAUGUGAUUGGUUCACAAUUGCUAUAUUCACGGAUCAAUUUUGAUUACUUCCGUGUAAUACCCCUUAGGCUAGCAGUCAUUAUUUUUUGUCUCUGUAUGUAAGCUAGCAAAGCUCUGUAUUUCAUUUUCAUUCAAGUCAUCAUAAUCAAUAAAAACCUGAUUCUCAUACUCUGUUUGCAUUUGAAAGCAAUUCUUAAGAAUUUAAGUAAAAAUUAGCUUAAUUCUUUUCAUUGUACUCAUUGCUUCUCUUCCGCUUUUCGUCAACGACAAUGGGUAACCUAAUCUCAACCUUCUUACCAGCAGAAUUAUUUGAUCGAACUUCAAACUGCGUUGGUGAACAAGCAAAUUAUGUAUGGGGUCUCGAAAAAAAUCUUCGGGUCUUGGAGACUGAAUUGCACAAAUUGACUCGAGCAAGGGACGAUCUGAAGACCAAGGUUGAGGUCGAAGAACAACGACCUGGGAAAUGGAAUUAGGAGCUUAUCGGAAAUUCCCACGUGUCCGCGGCUCGUAACUUUACUUCUGGGUGGAAAUCGGAUUGAGGAGAUCACUGAUGGCUUCUUUCAAUCGAUGUCUUCUCUUAGAGUAUUAAGUCUAAGAGGAAAUUUUCCCCUAAGAACACUACCUUCAGGGAUUUCAGGUUUGGUUUCAUUACAUCAUCUUGAUCUAUCAUCGACUAACAUAACUGGGUUGCCGCAAGAGCUGAAGGCGUUGGAGAAGUUGAGAUAUUUGAACUUGGACUAUACACGGUUUUUGUCUAUAAUUCCACAUCAAUUGAUAUCUGGCUUUUCAAAGUUGGAGGUACUCAGGUUGCUUUCACGCGGUCGCUGGAGCGUAAUAGAAGGUAACGUUCUAUGUGAUGAUUCUGAACCUUUGAUGAAGGAAUUGCUGGGUUUGAAGCAUUUAAAUGUUUUAAGCUGGACCUUCCGAAGUUCACUUGCUGUCCAAAAGUUUUUGAAAUAUCCAAAGCUGGUGAGCAUCACUCAAUCUGUAAUGGUUUGCCAAUGUGAAAGUCAACCGUUCAAUGUCUUACAUCUAGCAUACAUGGAGAAUCUUCAGGAGUUACGCAUUUCAAACAGUAAUUUGGAAGAGAUGAAGACUGACAGCACAGAAGAGGUAAAGAAACUUUUUCAAAGUGGUUUCCGCAGUCUCGACAGAGUUGUCAUAUGGAGUUGCCAAAAAAUGAAAGACUUAACGUGGCUAGUUUUUGUUCAAAUUCUCAAGCAGCUGCGUAUAGUCUUUUGUACAGAAAUGGAAGAAAUAAUUAGUGUUGAUAAAUUGAGAGAUAUUUCGAAGAUAAUCGGGUCAGAGCAUAACUUUUUUGCACAACUCGAAUCUCUAACCAUAAAGUGGGGAAGAAAUUUAAAGAGCGUUUACCCGAAUCCCCUGCCCUUUCCAAAGCUGAAGAAAAUUGAAGUACGUGAAUGCCCACAGCUGAAGAAGCUCCCACUCAAUUCCAGCAGCGCGAAGGAACGUCGAGUUGUCAUCGAGGGGUCGAAAAAAUGGUGGGAAGAGCUACAAUGGGAGGACCAAGCCACCCAAAAUGCUUUCUCUUCCGGUGUCGUACUUGGGGAUGAUUUUCAUUAAUAUGUUUGAAUAUGUAUUUCUUUUUUUUUCUUUUUUUAAUUUUCAUUAGAUUUAAUUACAUCUUGUUGUUGUUGUCUGGUGUGUCAAUCGUUAUCUAUUUUCAGUUAAUAAAAUUUCAGCAGUGGAUUCUUGGUUUUAGAAUCCUCCCACUGGAAAGAAUUUCUCCUUUGGCUUGAAUGCGACCUUUUUAGUCGUCGACAAAAUUGUAUUUGUCGCUUAAGUCUUGUUUGUUUUAAAAUGCUGGCAAAUUUAUAGAGUGGGAACUCAGAUGCUG